rnacentral:rRNA from 1 species
GUGGGGAAUAUUGGACAAUGGGCGAAAGCCUGAUCCAGCAAUGCCGCGUGAGUGAUGAAGGCCCUAGGGUUGUAAAGCUCUUUUACCCGGGAUGAUAAUGACAGUACCGGGAGAAUAAGCUCCGGCUAACUCCGUGCCAGCAGCCGCGGUAAUACGGAGGGAGCUAGCGUUGUUCGGAAUUACUGGGCGUAAAGCGCGCGUAGGCGGUUUUCCAAGUCAGGGGUGAAAGCCCGGGGCUCAACCCCGGAAUAGCCCUUGAGACUGGAAGACUAGAAUCUUGGAGAGGUCAGUGUAAUUCCGAGUGUAGAGGUGAAAUACGUAGAUAUUCGGAAGAACACCAGUGGCGAAGGCGACUGACUGGACAAGUAUUGACGCUGAGGUGCGAAAGCGUGGGGAGCAAACAGGAUUAGAAACCCUAGUAGUCC